UAGUGGCGAACGGGUGAGUAACACGUGGGCAAUCUGCCCUGCACUCUGGGAUAAGCCUUGGAAACGGGGUCUAAUACCGGAUAUCACAAUCUCUCGCAUGGGGGGUUGUUGAAAGUUCUGGCGGUGCAGGAUGAGCUCGCGGCCUAUCAGCUUGUUGGUGGGGUAAUGGCCUACCAAGGCGACGACGGGUAGCCGGCCUGAGAGGGUGACCGGCCACACUGGGACUGAGACACGGCCCAGACUCCUACGGGAGGCAGCAGUGGGGAAUAUUGCACAAUGGGCGAAAGCCUGAUGCAGCGACGCCGCGUGAGGGAUGACGGCCUUCGGGUUGUAAACCUCUUUCGCCAGGGACGAAGCGCAAGUGACGGUACCUGGAUAAGAAGCACCGGCUAACUACGUGCCAGCAGCCGCGGUAAUACGUAGGGUGCGAGCGUUGUCCGGAUUUAUUGGGCGUAAAGAGCUCGUAGGCGGUUUGUCGCGUCGUUCGUGAAAACUCAACGCUUAACGUUGAGCCUGCGGUCGAUACGGGCAGACUUGAGUUCGGUAGGGGAGACUGGAAUUCCU
rnacentral:rRNA from 1 species